rnacentral:misc_RNA from 1 species
UCCGGCUUAUCACCGGCAGUCCCCCUAGAGUGCCCAACUGAAUGAUGGCAACUAAGGGCGAGGGUUGCGCUCGUUGCGGGACUUAACCCAACAUGUCACCACACGAGCUGACAACAGCCAUGCAGCACCUGUCAUCCGGUAGUAUUGCUACUAAAGACGUAUCCCUACGUUUGUCCGGAGAUGUCAAACCCAGGUAAGGUUCUUCGCGUUGCUUCGAAUUAAACCACAUGAUCCACCGCUUGUGCGGGCCCCCGUCAAUUCCUUUGAGUUUUAGUCUUGCGACCGUACUUCCCAGGCGGGGUACUUAGUGCGUUAGCUCCGGUUCGGCGGGGGUCAAGACCCACCAAACCUAGUACCCAUCGUUUACAGCGUGGACUAC